AGGGUUUUCAAGCUGGGGCGCGAAGUUCGUGUCCCGGAAGAAGUUUAGGGGAAAACACAAGACUUUCAUUCAGGAAACGGGUGUUCAUGUUCCGGAAGAACUACUUAAAGGGACAGGUGUCAUAAAUGAUGCCUGUGGCUUGCACAGUAAUAGCGUUACUGAAGGCUAGAUCUAGUCUCGUGCUGAAGUCCCGUGGGAAUUCAGUUGUUGCAGGCAAAGGUAAACAGUAGUGUGCAGAGCGGAGCGUAGUGUGUGAAGAGUGAAGAUCGGAGGUGUUCACAAAGGAAGAAGCUUGAUGUAAGAAUAACGUGCGUUGCUCUACUGUGGAAAAGAAAUGGUUCGCGUUUGUGCCUUUCUGAAUUGUGGCAACAGAAAGCAAAAAAACAAUU